UCCCGAGCUUGCUUGGGAGAGUAAAGUGGCGCACGGGUGAGUAACGCGUGGGUAACCUACCUUUGAAUCUGGAAUAACCAGCCGAAAGGCUGACUAAUACCGGAUAUGGUUUUUAGGACUUAGGUUCUCUAAAUUAAAGGUGACCUCUUCAUGAAAGUUGCCGUUCAUAGAUGGGCCCGCGUACCAUUAGCUAGUUGGUGGGGUAAUGGCCUACCAAGGCGACGAUGGUUAGCUGGUCUGAGAGGAUGAUCAGCCACACUGGAACUGGAACACGGUCCAGACUCC
rnacentral:rRNA from 2 species